AUCCCAUGAUGAGGAAACUUACGAAGCAACUCCUUAAAUCAUUCCCAAGCCUCAUACAGAGACUCAUCAUCCAAUUGUUAGAAAGUUGUGAUCUCAUUCCUCAACUU
rnacentral:snoRNA from 1 species